rnacentral:rRNA from 1 species
GUCCUUUUGGGGUUAGGUGGCGGAGGGUGAGUACGCGUAAGAACUUGCCUUACAGACUGGGACAACAUUUGCGAAACGAAUGCUAAUACCGGAUAUUAUGACUGAGUCGCAUGAUUUGGUUAUGAAAGCUAUAUGCGCUGUGAGAGAGCUUUGCGUCCCAUUAGUUAGUUGGUGAGGUAACGGCUCACCAAGACGAUGAUGGGUAGCCGGCCUGAGAGGGUGAACGGCCACAAGGGGACUGAGACACGGCCCUUACUCCUACGGGAGGCAGCAGUGGGGAAUAUUGGACAAUGGACCAAAAGUCUGAUCCAGCAAUUCUGUGUGCACGAUGAAGUUUUUCGGAAUGUAAAGUGCUUUCAGUUGGGAAGAAGUCAGUGACGGUACCAACAGAAGAAGCGACGGCUAACUACGUGCCAGCCGCCCGCUAUCAUCCUGAGCCAGGGUCAAACUCCCCAAAAUUGGGCGUAAAGCGCGUCUAGGCGGUUUAGUAAGUCUGAUGUGAAAAAUGCGGGGGCUCAACCCCGUAUUGCGUUGGAAACUGCUAAACUAGAGUACUGGAGAGGUAGGCGGAACUACAAGUGUAGAGGUGAAAUUCGUAGAUAUUUGUAGGACUGCCGAUGGAGAAGCCAGCCUACUGGACAGAUACUGACGCUAAAAGCGCGAAAGCGGUGGGUAGAAAACAGGAUUAGAUACCCUGGGUAGUCCA